rnacentral:lncRNA from 1 species
CAAUAUCAUCAGCUCAUCCAAUCUAUAGUCAACGAGCUAUACUUGACAAAUGGUUGGACAUUGACAAUUAGAUUAAGUGCUAUAAAUUGGACUUCAUAGUUGAUGAAAAUCCAAUGGAUACAUAAGAACAUAUAAACUACCAAUGACAUGCUGAUUCAUCUGUAAUAGUUGUGAGAUGAUCAGAGUCGCACAAUGCAUGAGAUACGUGAUGGACAGUUUGUUUAUGAUCGAUGAUCAAGGAUAUUGAAGAGCUUGAAAGACUCGAC